CCUACGGGUGACUGCAGUGGGGAAUAGUGCACAAUGGGGGAAACCCUGAUGCAGCGACGCCGCGUGAGUGAAGAAGUAUCUCGGUAUGUAAAGCUCUAUCAGCAGGGAAGAAAAUGACGGUACCUGACUAAGAAGCCCCGGCUAACUACGUGCCAGCAGCCGCGGUAAUACGUAGGGGGCAAGCGUUAUCCGGAUUUACUGGGUGUAAAGGGAGCGUAGACGGCGCUGCAAGUCCGGAGUGAAAGCCCAUGGCUUAACCAUGGUACUGCUCGGGAAACUGUGGAGCUGUAGUGCGGGAGGGGCAGGCGGACUUCCUCUUGUAGCGGUGACAUGCGUAGCUCUUAGGAGGACCCCCGGCGGC
rnacentral:rRNA from 1 species